UCUGGCGGCAACAGCGCGGUGGUCCCACCUGACCCCAUGCCGAACUCAGAAGUGAAACGCCGUAGCGCCGAUGGUAGUGUGGGGUCUCCCCAUGNNGCGAGAGUAGGGAACUGCCAGAC
rnacentral:rRNA from 1 species